rnacentral:rRNA from 1 species
GUGGGGAAUCUUCCGCAAUGGACGAAAGUCUGACGGAGCGACGCCGCGUGAGUGAAGAAGGCCUUCGGGUCGUAAAGCUCUGUCAUCAGGGACGAACGGCCGGUGGAGUGGAAAGCCACCGGAUUGACGGUACCUGAGAAGGAAGCCACGGCUAACUACGUGCCAGCAGCCGCGGUAAUACGUAGGUGGCAAGCGUUGUCCGGAAUUAUUGGGCGUAAAGCGCGCGCAGGUGGGAUCUUAAGUCCAUUUUGAAAGUUCGGGGCUCAACUCCGUGAUGGGAUGGAAACUGGGAUUCUUGAGUACCGGAGAGGAAAGAGGAAUUCCCCGUGUAGCGGUGAAAUGCGUAGAUAUGGGGAGGAACACCAGUGGCGAAGGCGGCUUUCUGGACGGUGUCUGACACUGAGGCGCGAAAGCUAGGGGAGCGAACGGGAUUAGAUACCCUUGUAGUCC